rnacentral:rRNA from 1 species
GAUGAACGCUGGCGACGUGCCUAAUACAUGCAAGUCGAGCGAACAGACGAGGAGCUUGCUCCUCUGACGUUAGCGGCGGACGGGUGAGUAACACGUGGAUAACCUACCUAUAAGACUGGGAUAACUUCGGGAAACCGGAGCUAAUACCGGAUAACAUGUUGAACCGCAUGGUUCAACAGUGAAAGACGGUCUUGCUGUCACUUAUAGAUGGAUCCGCGCCGCAUUAGCUAGUUGGUAAGGUAACGGCUUACCAAGGCAACGAUGCGUAGCCGACCUGAGAGGGUGAUCGGCCACACUGGAACUGAGACACGGUCCAGACUCCUACGGGAGGCAGCAGUAGGGAAUCUUCCGCAAUGGGCGAAAGCCUGACGGAGCAACGCCGCGUGAGUGAAGAAGGUCUUCGGAUCGUAAAACUCUGUUAUUAGGGAAGAACAAAUGUGUAAGUAACUAUGCACGUCUUGACGGUACCUAAUCAGAAAGCCACGGCUAACUACGUG